UAUCCGGGCUGGCUCCUCUCCUUCCUCUCUCCCUCCGCGCCGCCUCCUCUCCUCUUCGUGCGCGGCGGCGUCUCGUCAUCCCCAGCCCCCACCUCCCCAACCCCUUGCUCCCGCACGAACCCUAUCAGAGAGAGAGAAGAUGAGAGGGAGAGAGAAGGAAGGAGAGGAGAGGCGGGAGAAAGAGAGAGGAAAGAGGAGAGGGAGGUGUGGCAGCUGACAGGAGAGGGUCACCGGCCAGCGUCGGCCUGCGCUGGCGAGGUCGGGCACGACCUGGCGGUUGGCGGCGGCUCGACCCGUUCCUAAAUCAGGAGCUGCGAGGAGGCCGGGGCUGGGGCGCGAUGCACGGGAGGCUCCACCCCGCCUCCAUCUCUACGCGUGCAGCGGCGACCCCGGAGGAGCUCAAGCCACAUCCGUGGUCCACGUCGCCGUCGUCGGCAGGAGGAGCGUGGGUCGCAGAGAUGGCCGGCUCAGUCCAGCUUUCGCGUUGCCGUCCAUCCACCCGAGACACCAGUCCCCGCGUCCUGGCCUGAAAGGUGGAUCAAAUAUGAAAUACGUGAACGUUCCAUAGUGUGAAAAGCAAGCCAUGGUCUUGUUAAAGUUCCGUUGAAUUUCUGUGAUACCUAAGAAGUAUUAAUGCUCAUAUUUUUGCAAUUUGCUCUCCACAACUUUCAGUCACUGGUUCUUGAGGAAAGCAGGGAACUAUGAGACUUGCACAGUUUGGGCAGCGUCAGCACAACAGGCAGAGUUUCUGUUCAAGUAGUAGCAGACCAGCAAAGCGCGGACGAGGAGAUCCAGGUCACGGGCCAUCCCCAUUUAGGUAAGCCUGUCUUUCAUGUGCGGUUUUGUUUGAUGAUUUUUUUGAGGGCUUCUUUGAUGAAUUACUCAUAUGUGAGAACAUUGUAGGCCAUGCACACAUCGAGUGAACAGAUUCAGUUUUCUUUUUUUAUCGCUUAGUAGUGCUCAUUGAAUCUUCAGGUAUGAAUAUCGUUGCAAUUAGCAAGCAACCCUGAUGGCAGAAGCUAGCUACAUGCCUAGAUUGAUGCGUUCCGGUACUAUUCUAUGCAGAUUCUUCACUACUAAUUGUUUUUCCGUUGUUAGCCGUAUUCAAUCAAUACGGUUUGGUGUACUAUUUUUAGCUUCAUAGAUGUGAGCACGCCUCUUCAUUGUUCUUAGAAUGUUCAGAAGCGGUGCUCCCUUUAGCCCUCUUCACUGCUUAGCACCAGUUUUCGCUAGAGUAACUUCUUUUUUCCAAUCACGAGUUUGCAUGUUAGCAUGAUGUGCUUAAUAAGACAGUCCUACACAAGCUCGAUGUCUGUUAGAUGAAUUUUCUUGAUGCAGUGGCAUGCACUUUAGUGACCUAUAAUUUUAAGUUCCUAACUAUGCUACAAAUUUUACCUUUCCUGUUAAAGGUCUGCCACAGAAUCAGGUUGUAUUUGUGUUCAUUGGUGUGGAUUUACAACUCCAUCGUCAACCAUUGUUGCUGGUAUCGUCACUUUUUUAGAACCAAAGAAAUAUUGCUUUUCAACUCAGAUGUGUGUUAGGUGAUGUUGCAUGCCAUUUUUGUUCAUCGGCCUGACAUGAUUUGGAUUGGUGCAGAGGUCGGUGUGAAUGAAAAGCUAGCUUCUGAAGACGCAGUCGAUUAUUAUUGCCUAUUUUUCUAUUGAAAGGUGUUGCUUCUUUUAUCUUGACAGUCGACGUCUGCUGGACCUGCCAGUUCUCAGGUGGAAGGUGGUGACUAGCAGCGCGCACGUGGACAAUGAUUGGGAUGGUGCUAUUACCCGUGCACAGGACUGCCUAAUGUCUAUUCUGGGAAUGGUUAUUUCCCUGCUCUUGCAGACAAAUCACCUGAUUUGAACUGUGUACGAGAUAAAGUUAUGCAAGCUUCUGCGUGCUCGGAGUCCCCGCUCUCAUGUUGUUGGAGCAGUGACAUACAUGUGGCGGCUAUCCUCAAUAGGGAGUAGCAAAUUGGAGGCCAAAGAAGAAAAUUUGUUCAAUUCUGAAACUAAAUUUAGUGAAGGAGGCCGAAGUUCAUUACAACGCCAAUAUGGAUCCAUCCUAUUGCGUUGGGUGAAGGUCUAGAUGCAAUAAAAAUUGCACGUAGCAAACAUGUGCUUCCUCUAUAUCUGUACAAUCAGAGUUCUCGCUUUUCUUUGUGUGAUCUUUGUUUAUCCUUUUUGUUGUUUUUAUGUUGCCUACAUUCAGUCGACUUCAAGUUAACCUGUCCAUUUAUUUUUAUUCAGAUAGUUCAGAUGUCUAACGUUUAUAGCAUACACAUCAGUCUAGGGUUAACAAUAGUAGAAUAAAUCUUUCCAUAUAUCAUGAUUCAUAUGUGAGUCUCCCUGUCUGAGUAUAACCAUGAGUUGACAUGCUAUUAUUAACAAGAAGAUAUAAAUCAAUUUUGUUGUUUCAUCGUUGAAAGAUCAUUAGUAAUUUAUCAGAGUCUAUUCUGUCGUUUCAUGAUUUUAACAUAAAGUUAGUAGUUUGCCAGUUCUUAAAUUCUACCGAGGGACACCCAUCUACUUAAUAAGAGUAUCUUGACACUCCACAUUAUCUGAAAGGAAAAGCUUAUCAGCUGUUAAUUUGCUUAAUUUAUCUUAUGCAAGUCAGGGCUUACUUAUUUAUGACAAUUAUAAAAAACAAUUUUCUUACAUGUAGUAACAAUAACCUUACUCUUUUAUCACCAUUCAAUGUGUGGCCUCACACUGCAGAUGCAAUAUUCCGGUGUUCUGAAGUCAUGGGAUGCAACGCUAUGCAAUCUCUUAACAGUAUAUUGCACCCAGUUAGCAAAAUGAUCUACAUUCGGAACAAACUCUUGGAGACAGUAGAUAAAUGCAAAUGUCCCCCAGCACCAGAGGCGAUCCUUUCUAUGGAGAAACACCAUAUACGUACAUAAUUUUGUGCUUGGAUUCUGGAAACGACCAAGGAUAAGCAACUCAAGUGAAAGACUGCCUUGGGAUGAUACAAUCAAUCCAACUGUUACCUUUAGGAUGCUUUUUGGAUGGACUAAUCUGAAGAUGCUGGCUAGCUUACACCGCCAUCAUACAGUCUAGAAGUACAGGGAAAAUAAAGGUGCAAUGAGCCCAAUAUAUUUUACUUUUUGGCAAAGUUUUGGUGCUUGCCCAAGAAAGUAACACCUAUUAAACCUACUAAUCCUUUUUCCCAGGCAAUUCGCCAUCUGGAGAAAUACCAACUAAUACAUUUUUGUACUUUCUUUGUUGCAGAGGUUGCUCUUGUAGAGAAAACAUAGUAAACUCAGAUGAUUGGAUUAGAAAAUACUCUUCAGCAUCUGAAACAUCUAAAGGCGGUCACUCAACUAAGUAUCUUAUACAAUAUACCCAGCUGGAUGAUUGGAGUAGUACCAGCCGCUAUGUAUCACUCAGAUGAUUAGUGCUCCUGCGUUGAACCACUCAGCUAAGUAUCAACACUGCCCUCGAGACUUGGCUAUUAGCAUAGUAGCAACGAGCUCACAAAAAAAAUCUACAGAUUCAUCAAACACCAAGGAGAUAGUUCUUACCUGAGCGGCAAUAGCGGCUACCAUAGUCUUCCUGGAGCAUCCCUUCCCAUGAAAAGUUACCGGCUUCAGGGAGUGCCAGCACAGCCAAAUCACCGGUACGAGCAACAGCGGCACCAUUUGCCGGUUCUGCGGCUCCAAGCUACAGCAGUAGCUGCCGGGCCACCAAGAAGCAGAUGGAGCCGCAACACCUGCGGCCAAGCUGCGGCGUCAGCCGCCAAGAUGGAGCCCGAAAUGUCGCCGUCCGCCUCCACCAGGUGCUUUCUCACUUAGGUACGAGUAGAAUGGGGAAAGGAACGGGAUGAGGACGAUGAACUGGUGGUGGAUGGAACAAGACCAACAGUCGACCACGUGGUGACCUGUUGUGUUACAUGUGUGACGCGUGUGUAUAGGUGUCCAUAGUGUGGGGUUCUUUGUCCCAAUGGCACAGUUGUAAUUUUGUUUUUCUUGCUAAUUUGUACUGCAUGUACUGUCAUGAUCUACACCGUUUCAUGCAAUCUACUCCUACUUAUCUUAAACUUCCAUUUAGCUUGUAUCA